AGAGGAUUUCCGCGAAAUCUGGCGGAGUCCAUAUUCUCCAUGUAUGACUCACUGCAAAAAGAAAAUGAUUGGAAAGUUUCAAACCCAGACCGUUUCACAUUGGUUCGCUGAUGCUGAAUAAAAUAAAGCUCUGCAUAUAGAAAUAAGGCAACAAAGACGCCCUCUUUGCUCUUUUCUUUGUAUCAUCCUUCUCUUUGUUUCA
rnacentral:lncRNA from 1 species